UACGUAGGGGGCAAGCGUUGUCCGGACUUAUGGGGCGUAAAGAGCGUGUAGGCGGCUUGGCAAGUCCGCUGUGAAAACUCGAGGCUCAACCUCGAGCUGUCGGUGGAAACUGCCUGGCUAGAGUCCGGAAGAGGAGUGUGGAAUUCCUGGUGUAGCGGUGAAAUGCGCAGAUAUCAGGAAGAACACCUAUGGCGAAGGCAGCGCUCUGGGACGGUACUGACGCUGAGACGCGAAAGCGUGGGGAGCGAACAGG
rnacentral:rRNA from 1 species